GUGCCUCUGGCUGAGCGGCCAGGCGCCGGAUUGCAAAUCCGACUCAGACCGGUUCGACUCCGGUGGGGCACUCCA
rnacentral:tRNA from 1 species